AUAACAACAAAGACGAGAGGUUUCCACAGAUCAUUAUCAUAAUCGAAUUUCAUGAUGGAGAUAUCCUGCCACGGAUGUGAAUCAAUUAAUAUAUGUUACAUUGCACUGAAUAUUUUGAUCAUGGUGAACUGAUAGCAAGUCUGAAGAUGUCUAAAACAGUAGUGAUAAUUGUUCGAAGUAGAAGAGAAAGAAGUGCUACUUUACUCACAGAAUGAUUGAUAAACUAUUGGCAUUGCCAUAUCAAAAAGGCCAACUUUGACAAACAUUAUCUAGAUGCAAGUAGAGAUUAAUUUAGUCAUAUGGGUUUAAACGAUAUAUAAUUAUUUACUGCUAUAAA